AUUGAACGCUGGCGGCAUGCCUUACACAUGCAAGUCGAACGGUAACAGGUCUUCGGAUGCUGACGAGUGGCGAACGGGUGAGUAAUACAUCGGAACGUGCCCGAUCGUGGGGGAUAACGCAGCGAAAGCUGUGCUAAUACCGCAUACGAUCUACGGAUGAAAGCGGGGGAUCUUCGGACCUCGCGCGGACGGAGCGGCCGAUGGCAGAUUAGGUAGUUGGUGAGGUAAAGGCUCACCAAGCCGACGAUCUGUAGCUGGUCUGAGAGGACGACCAGCCACACUGGGACUGAGACACGGCCCAGACUCCUACGGGAGGCAGCAGUGGGGAAUUUUGGACAAUGGGCGCAAGCCUGAUCCAGCCAUGCCGCGUGCAGGAUGAAGGCCAUCGGGUUGUAAACUGCUUUUGUACGGAACGAAAAGGUUCUUUCUAAUAAAGAGAGCUCAUGACGGUACCGUAAGAAUAAGCACCGGCUAACUACGUGCCAGCAGCCGCAGUAACAC
rnacentral:rRNA from 1 species